UAACCUGCCUUGUAGCGGGGGAUAACUAUUGGAAACGAUAGCUAAUACCGCAUAACAAUGGAUGACACAUGUCAUUUAUUUGAAAGGGGCAAUUGCUCCACUACAAGAUGGACCUGCGUUGUAUUAGCUAGUAGGUGAGGUAAUGGCUCACCUAGGCGACGAUACAUAGCCGACCUGAGAGGGUGAUCGGCCACACUGGGACUGAGACACGGCCCAGACUCCUACGGGAGGCAGCAGUAGGGAAUCUUCGGCAAUGGGGGCAACCCUGACCGAGCAACGCCGCGUGAGUGAAGAAGGUUUUCGGAUCGUAAAGCUCUGUUGUAAGUCAAGAACGGGUGUGAGAGUGGAAAGUUCACACUGUGACGGUAGCUUACCAGAAAGGGACGGCUAACUACGUGCCAGCAGCCGCGGUAAUACGUAGGUCCCGAGCGUUGUCCGGAUUUAUUGGGCGUAAAGCGAGCGCAGGCGGUUUGAUAAGUCUGAAGUUAAAGGCUGUGGCUCAACCAUAGUUCGCUUUGGAAACUGUCAAACCUGAGUGCAGAAGGGGAGAGUGGAAUUCCAUGUGUAGCGGUGAAAUGCGUAGAUAUAUGGAGGAACACCGGUGGCGAAAGCGGCUCUCUGGUCUGUAACUGACGCUGAG
rnacentral:rRNA from 1 species